UUACAUGUAUCCAUUUAUCGGACGCUCUUCUCCAAAGCGACGAACAUCUCGGAGAAGUGCUACGUGUUCAUGACAUCAGGAGAAAGGGACGUAGUUGCAGUUGACGUGUGAUUCUUAAACAUACGCUAUGCGUAUGAAUUAUACAUAAGUACAUAGAGUGUACGUUUUGCAGGAAAACACGCGCGCUCUCGCUCCCGUUUCAGAGGUUUCGGGUCCCGGUCGCAUUUCCUCCACGUGCAAACGCUAAGAGGCGAGGCGUCUCACCAUCGGGGUCCAAUAAAGGGUGGGCCGCUCUGCUUCCGGGGGGGCCCGAAACGACGCUUUCGGCACUUGAGGGAAACACCGACACGCACUGGCAGCACCGAGCCCCGCUGAAACGGUCGAUGGGAAGGGAGCGGCCCGAACCGAAACCGCGCGCAUCGACUCCUAUCGGAAAACGAACGUGCAAACGUGGCGUUUCAGCUGCGGUCACCUUUUCCGCUGAAGAAUGAUUGUUUGGCCGGUUCUUGUUUCUGGACGCUGCUGCUUAUUUAGCGUCACGCUUCGUGUCCCUGAGACGUCCCCCGAUUCUCCAACUUUUCCCACUCGUCACUGGAGCCACUGAGGCUGCUUGCGGAACGGGUGUACGGGGAGCCCGUCAAUACACGCGCGCAUUCCCCGACUGGCCGUUCCGCUGGCGAACCAAAGGUCAGCGGCCCCUGCGCCUCUGGGAGAAAAUCCUCCAAAGCUCUCAAAGGGCGCUUCGUGGGACUUGCCAGCGUUCACGUAACGGGCACCUGAGGGACACACACACACACACAAGCACGCACGCGCACACACGCUCUCCACCUCCCGCUCUGCUCCAUGUCCUCUCAUGGGAAAACAGCGCAGCUUGAGGCCACCGGCGAGGGCAGCGGAGCAGAAGCACGGCUCUCCGCUCUGACUCGACACACCUGCCUUUCUCCGAACAAACGGGGCCGAGCAGUACUUAUGGCGCCAGGGGCGUACGAAGUCCGGUCGAAGGCGGGCGAACGCUGGAAACUCUCCGUUUCCUCGCAAAGCCUUCGGUGAACAAGUCUGAAAGAGGAACUGAGGCGCGACGUCCUGCUGCAGGUCCCCCAGUCGCGAGAAACCUUCGCUGUCCCUCUUCUGUCCGGGUCGAACCGGGGCAGCAGAGGCCGCCGCACACGGACACGGGGUCAGUGGCGGUCGGUGACGUCAGGACGAGAGGAAGGACGUGUGUCUUAGUGGAAGUUCAGCGAGAGCACCGUGCUUUUCCAUCCCAGCCUUUACCUGAUGUUCGGGGCUGCACCGGCUUGGCGGGGGGGGGGGGGGGGGGGGUUCGGCUGCUCUACCCUGCUGCCCACAUCAAACGGCAUGUGUCUCAGGCAAGACGCUGUGCUUUCUUGUGGGGCUGCUUCACGUUCCUGCUGAGCUCCGAUGCCCCCAUCUCUAGACGUGUGCGCACGUACGCGCACACACACACAUGCAGUGUGGUGAGUUUCAUAGAAACCAACCGCUGAAUAAAACAUUGAUUUCCAAGGACUCGUUUUUCUGAUAAUCUCCCUGCACAGUACAUGUUCAAAGCAAGACUGCGUACCGUAUACACAAACUCAC
rnacentral:lncRNA from 1 species